rfam:Picea glauca, whole genome shotgun sequence.
GCAUGCCUACAACAUAGCGUUAAUGCACUGUAUCCCAUUAGAACUCCGCAGUUAAGUGCGCUAAGGCUAGAGUAGUAUUGGGAUGGGUGACCUCUCGAGAAGUCCUAGUGUUUUACAUGCC